GUGUCAGCCGCCGCGGUAAUACGGAGGAUGCAAGCGUUAUCCGGAAUGAUUGGGCGUAAAGCGUCCGCAGGUGGCUAUGUAAGUCUGCUGUUAAAGAGUCUAGCUCAACUAGAUAAGAGCAGUGGAAACUACAUGGCUAGAGUGCGUUCGGGGCAGAGGGAAUUCCUGGUGUAGCGGUGAAAUGCGUAGAGAUCAGGAAGAACACCGGUGGCGAAGGCGCUCUGCUAGGCCGCAACUGACACUGAGGGACGAAAGCUAGGGGAGCGAAUGGGAUUAGAAACCCCUGUAGUCC
rnacentral:rRNA from 1 species